UAGUGGCGUUCAGGGCAACGAAAGGGCGCACGAGCUUGCCAGACUUGGAGCUUCACGGCACGAUCUGGCAAGCCAAUGCCACAUCAGCGUGUCAGAGGGGCUCAUGCGGUGGAGGUCUAAGAAGUGGGCUACGGACCGCUUCAGGGAUCUCUGGGUGCAAUGCCCUGGCAUGAGGCACACGAAGGCUCUGUUUUCAGGGCCUUCGGAGGAGCUAGGUACCGAGUUGAUCAACCUGGACCGAGCCCAAUUGAGGCUGGUUGUAGGAUUGGUCACCGGGCACUGGCACCUUAGAAAGCACCUUACGCGACUGGGCCUUGCACAAGACUCGGUCUGCGGCAGGUGCGGCGAAGGAGAGGAUACCCCCCUCCAUCUCAUAACUCAAUGCAUUGGGCUCGCGGACGUCAGAAAUGAUGUCCUUGGGACCACCGACAACAACUUCGAUCUAGUGGGCUCAGGGACGGCCAGACUCCUGCGCUUUGCAAGGGAGUCGGGGCUGCCCGCGGGACCGCUAUGGUCAUAGGUUUUUCCCCGCAAAGGGCCCGGGUACAAUGGUCCAGAGACUGAGCGCCCGGGUAAACAAACCUCAAGGAAAAAAAAAACACGUUUGUUGACACCAAGCGAGAUUGAAUUAUUUAUUGAUAAUUGUAUUAAAUUUCAUUAAAAAAAUUAUUUGAUAGUUGAUGUUAGUACUUAACCUUUCUAUUUUUAACAUUAAAAGAUAGAUUAAACUACAAAAUACUAUUCAGUGAUUGAUUUAUAAACAUGGAUAACCUCUCUAUUUGGAACGUUUCAGUAAUAAUUUGAUGAAAAGUAUGCCAGUAAAAAAGGAAGACAACAAAAGAUCAUUUUGCUAAUAGCAAAAUGAAGUAUGAAAGUGGAAUAAAAUCGUUAACAAAGAGACCAUUAUGUCUUUGCUUGCUGAAAAUCUUUCUAUAUGAAAGUCUAUGAGGGCUCAAAUAGAGAGAAUGAAUGCAAUUUUAAAAGAAUAUAAAUCGUAUUCAGCAGCUUCAGAAUAUUUAAGCAAAUACAAUGUUUCAUAAUCAUGAACUUAAUUAAACAUAGUAAAAAUUGUAUAUAUUUAAAAAAAAAAAGUAAUGAACUGCACAUAGCAUAAGUGAGUAGUUAGAAUUGUACAUUUGAAAUAAAAUAAAUUUGUAUCAUUUAUAUGAA